rnacentral:rRNA from 1 species
UGCCAGCCGCCGCGGUAAUACGGAGGGUGCAAGCGUUGUUCGGAAUUAUUGGGCGUAAAGCGUGCGUAGGCGGAUCGACAAGUUGGGGGUGAAAUCCCGGGGCUUAACCCCGGAACUGCCCUCAAAACUGUCGAUCUAGAGACCGGGAGAGGUAAGCGGAAUUCCUAGUGUAGAGGUGAAAUUCGUAGAUAUUAGGAAGAACACCAGUGGCGAAGGCGGCUCACUGGCUCGAUACUGACGCUGAGGUGCGAAAGCGUGGGGAGCAAACAGGAUUAGAUA